AUAUUGGACAAUGGGGGCAACCCUGAUCCAGCCAUGCCGCGUGUGUGAAGAAGGUCUUCGGAUUGUAAAGCAGUUUAAGAUGGGAGGAAGGGCUUUAGGUUAAUACCGUGAAGUUUUGACGUUACGCACAGAAUAAGCACCGGCUAACGCUGUGCCAUCAGCCGCGGUAAUAAAGAGAGUGCAAGCGUUAAUCGGAAUUACUGGGCGUAAAGCGCGCGUAGGUGGUUCAGUAAGAUGGGUGUGAAAUCCCCGGGCUUAACCUGGGAACUGCUUUCAUAACUGCUGAGCUAGAGUACGGUAGAGGGUAGUGGAAUUUCCUGUGUAGCGGUGAAAUGCGUAGAUAUAGGAAGGAACACCAGUGGCGAAGGCGACUACCUGGACUGAUACUGACACUGAGGUGCGAAAGCGUGGGGAGCAAAC
rnacentral:rRNA from 1 species